rnacentral:rRNA from 1 species
UACGUAGGGUGCAAGCGUUGUCCGGAAUUAUUGGGCGUAAAGAGCUCGUAGGCGGUCUGUCGCGUCGGCUGUGAAAACCCGAGGCUCAACCUCGGGCCUGCAGUCGAUACGGGCAAACUAGAGUACUGCAGGGGAGACUGGAAUUCCUGGUGAUAGCGGUGAAAUGCGCAGAUAUCAGGAGGAACACCGGUGGCGAAGGCGGCUUCCUGGCCUGUUCUUGACGCUGGAGGCGACGGAAAGCCUAGGGUAGCAAACGGG